rnacentral:lncRNA from 1 species
UUCAGCUUCUAAGUGCCUUGCUGCAGGGAUCCAGCCUGUCACAAGCAUGAAACUGUAGUGUGUGCACUGCCCCACCACUGUGGGAACUGUACUUCUGCAAAAAAAGUGUCAGCCAGGCUGAGUGGAGCCAUUUGUCUUCUCCUAAGCUAAGCAGUGAAGGAUGCAGUGCAGAGGUGCUGCUGUAUAAAACUUACUGCAUGGUUUUAAGCACUGGCAUGAUCCUGGUAAAUGUUAAAAGACAAUUUGUGCAGUGAAGUUGAAGAACAAUCUUGGUUUAACCAGAACUGCUCUGAGAGUUUGGUGACUGCUCAGGAGCAGUGCUGCUUUCCUUCAUGUUCAGGCUGAGAUAUUUGGUUGCGUUCAGCACAGCAGAUGCUCUCAGAUGGACUCUGCCUUCAUCUGAGAGUCAAUAACUUCAAGAAAUUGAGGGCUUUGAAGGUUGGGUGUCUUGACACUAAAUUGCAUAGCCAAAGAAGAAUUCACUGAGAAACUCUAGUGACAAAGGGCACAGCCUGCCUCAUGAGCCCACAGAAGAACACUGCUCAGAAGAGAUGAUUGCCUAAGGGUAGGACAGGGCCUGUGCCAAAGAGGAAGAAGCUGGUCCAGAGAGCUCUUGCAUGGUGCACUGUGGCUGGUCCCACAGCAGCAGACAGCAGUGGGAAAGCAAGCUGGAGUGCAGGAUCCUGAGAACAUGGCCAGCAAAUCCUGCCCAGGGGACCAACAGCAGGCCCUCCACAGCCAAACCCAACAGACCCUGGGACUGCAGAUUGUCUUGACAACAGAUGGAUAUACAUGUUUGCUCUCAGUCUGAAGUCUGGUCACAGUCCUUGUCAAAUCCCCAAAAAUGUUGCCUUCUGCCAGCAAGCAUUACUACUGUUUUAUCUGGAUGGAACCAAGAGUAUCAGACUUUCAUCCAGACACUGGGGGCCACUCUGGAUUUACACUGGAAUAACACCAAUGUUACUGAGGUGCCAACAGAAAGAUGUCUCCAUGAAAGCUUUUGCCUCUCAACUUCAUAGUCUAUGGGGGUGAGGAAUAUUCCUCAAGACCAGCCCAAGUCUCCAGAGUAUUCAUUGUGUUGCAACAAUUACUUUGGUUGCUGCUUUAUUUUUUUCCCCUUUCUUUUCCUUUUUUUUCUUUCUUCUCUCCCCUCUCUCCUUCUUUUAUGUAUUCUUCUAUGUAGUUAUGGAAUAAUACAUUUUUAUGUAUUUCUCCUUCUAUUAUGUAUUUCU